AAGAAAAAUAAAAGCAAAAAAACAAAAUUAUUAUUAUUAUUAUGGCCAACAAGUUCAAAUGCUACUUAAAUUCUAAAACUUGCAGAACAAAGAAAGUAAGACUACGAAUUACAUUCAUGACUGUUGUGAUCAUAUGACCAGCAGAUGACUAAUUCACUGAUUACUGAUUAAUUCAAUAACUCUAAAAAAAAUAUACACUGAAGCACUCCAGUGUUGCUUAAAAAGCCUACCAGCUUCCAUAGCAUUCCCAUCAGUGCUAUGGAACAACAAUGCUGUUACCAGGAAUUUGAGAGGUCAAAGGCUUGUGUCUAUACAAGAGACUGUAGCCUGACCAUUUGGCUGAAAACCUUUAAUGACCAACAAUUGAUGUAAAAUCAAGAUGCAGACAAGGAGGAGCAUUCAUAAAAUAGAGCAAUUUUGAUAUGUGAAUUCGAAAAGAAUAGCUGAGAAUGAUUGAAAAUAUGAAGAAACUAAUAAAAGGAAAGGAUCCUUGUAGACACUUGGAUCGAAAAUUCCUUCUAGGAAAAAAAUAAAUAAACUAUUCACUAAAG
rnacentral:misc_RNA from 1 species